rnacentral:antisense_RNA from 1 species
UGCGCGGUGUACGCCCACGUCGCCUCGGCCGUCGACAGGAUCUCGUCGCCGAUGUGAUCGCCGUCGGCCAGCACGCCCAGCGUCGUUCGGUCGCCGUAGUCGCCCGUGGCCAGCUUGUGCACCUUGCCGUGGGCGAUGAGGACGAGCCGGUCGACCGACCCACCCUGCUCCACAAUGGACUCGCCUGCGGCGUACUCGCGUUGCUCGAAGCGGUUGGCCAGCUCGGCGAGCACCUCCGCGUCGUCGAAUCCGCGCAGCGGGGCCAGUUCGCGCAGCUCCUCGGGGAUCACCCGGACCUCGGCCCCGGUGGUGACGAACUCGACGCGCCCGUCGCCGACAGUGUGGGUGCGGCGGCGGUUGACCCGGUAGGCGCCGCCCUUGGCCUCCACCCACGGCAGGGUGCGCAGCAGCCAGCGGGAGCUGAUGCCCUGCAUCUGGGGAACCGACUUGGUGGUCGUCGCGAGAUUUCGCGCCGCCGCCGUGCUCAGACUCAAUUGUGUUUGUUCGG